ACAGUGGACGCGAGCAUCUGUGGCCAAGUUUUUAAGGGCGCACGGUGGAUGCCUUGGCACCAGGAACCGAUGAAGGACGUGGGAGGCCGCGAUAGGCCCCGGGGAGCUGUCAACCGAGCUGUGAUCCGGGGGUGUCCGAAUGGGGAAACCCGGCAGUCGUCAUGGGCUGUCACCCAUACCUGAACACAUAGGGUAUGUGGAGGGAACGCGGGGAAGUGAAACAUCUCAGUACCCGCAGGAAGAGAAAACAACCGUGAUUCCGGGAGUAGUGGUGAGCGAAACCGGAUGAGGCCAAACCAGUCACGUGUGAUACCCGGCAGGGGUUGCGUGGUUGGGGUUGUGGGAGUUCUCUUGAUCGGUCUGCCGGCCGGUCGGUGAGUCAGAAACCGUUGAUGUAGGCGAAGGACAUGCGAAAGGUCCGGCGUAGAGGGUAAGACCCCCGUAGCUGAAACAUUGACGGCUCGCUUGAGAAUCACCCAAGUAGCACGGGGCCCGUGAAAUCCCGUGUGAAUCUGGCGGGACCACCCGCUAAGCCUAAAUAUUCCCUGGUGACCGAUAGCGGAUAGUACCGUGAGGGAAUGGUGAAAAGUACCGCGGGAGCGGAGUGAAAUAGUACCUGAAACCGUGUGCCUACAAGCCGUGGGAGCGUCGCNNNNGUCGUGACUGCGUGCCUUUUGAAGAAUGAGCCUGCGAGUUUGCGGUAUGUUGCGAGGUUAACCCGUGUGGGGAAGCCGUAGCGAAAGCGAGUCCGAAGAGGGCGUUUGAGUAGCGUGCCCAAGACCCGAAGCGGAGUGAUCUAGCCAUGGGCAGGUUGAAGCGGAGGUAAGACUUCGUGGAGGACCGAACCCACCAGGGUUGAAAACCUGGGGGAUGACCUGUGGUUAGGGGUGAAAGGCCAAUCAAACUCCGUGAUAGCUGGUUCUCCCCGAAAUGCAUUUAGGUGCAGCGUCGUGUGUUUCUUGCCGGAGGUAGAGCACUGGAUAGGCGAUGGGCCCUACCGGGUUACUGACCUUAGCCAAACUCCGAAUGCCGGUAAGUGAGAGCGCGGCAGUGAGACUGUGGGGGAUAAGCUCCAUGGUCGAGAGGGAAACAGCCCAGAGCAUCGACUAAGGCCCCUAAGCGUGUGCUAAGUGGGAAAGGAUGUGGAGUCGCAGAGACAACCAGGAGGUUGGCUUAGAAGCAGCCAUCCUUGAAAGAGUGCGUAAUAGCUCACUGGUCAAGUGAUUCCGCGCCGACAAUGUAGCGGGGCUCAAGCACACCGCCGAAGUCAUGUCA
rnacentral:rRNA from 1 species